GUCUGAAAUUCGACUUCAUGAAGCUGGAAUUGCUAGUAAUGGCGGGUCAGCAUACUGCCGUGAAUACGUUCCCGGGCCUUGUACACACCGCCCGUCACACCAUGAGAGUUGGGAAUACCCGAAGCCUGUGAGCUAACUUUUUAAGAGGCAGCAGUCGAAGGUAGAAUCAAUGAUUGGGGUGAAGUCGUAACAAGGUAUC
rnacentral:rRNA from 1 species